rnacentral:rRNA from 1 species
GACGGAAGGUGCAAGCGUUGCCCGGAAUUACUGGGCGUAAAGCGUAUGCAGGCGGAUCGUUAAGUCGGGGGUGAAAUCCCGAGGCUCAACCUCGGAACUGCCUUCGAUACUGGCGAUCUUGAGUCCGGGAGAGGUGAGUGGAACUCCGAGUGUAGAGGUGAAAUUCGUAGAUAUUCGGAAGAACACCAGUGGCGAAGGCGACUACCUGGCCCAUUCUUGACGCUGAGGCGCGAAAGCUAGGGGAGCGAACGGG